AUAAGAGGUCCCGCCUGCCCUGUGACUUAAAGUUUAACGGCCGCGGUAUUUUGACCGUGCAAAGGUAGCGCAAUCACUUGUCUUUUAAAUGAAGACCUGUAUGAAUGGCAUCACGAGGGCUUAGCUGUCUCCUUUUUCAAGUCAAUGAAAUUGAUCUCCCCGUGCAGAAGCGGGGAUAAUAAUAUAAGACGAGAAGACCCUAUGGAGCUUUAGACCUAAUGCAGUCCACGAAUAAUACUUUUGAUGAAAAAAGAAAAGCUCAAUGGCUCCUGCACGCCUGUCUUUGGUUGGGGCGACCGCGGGGAAAAAUAAAACCCCCAUGAGGAUUGAGAGUUCUACUCCUAAAACCAAGAGCCACAGCUCUAAGUAACAGAAAUUCUGACCUAAAUGAUCCGGGAAACCGAUCAACGAACCGAGUUACCCUAGGGAUAACAGCGCAAUCCCCUUCCAGAGCCCAUAUCGACAAGGGGGUUUACGACCUCGAUGUUGGAUCAGGACAUCCUAAUGGUGCAGCCGCUAUUAAGGGUUCGUUUGUUCAACGAUUAAAGUCC
rnacentral:rRNA from 1 species